CCCUUAGAUGUUCUGGGCUGCACGCGCGCUACACUGAUGCGUUCAACAAGUUGGACCUCGUCCGAGAGGAAAUCGGGGGAAUCUUUUGAAAACGUAUCGUGAUAGGGAUAGAUUAUUGUAAUUAUUAAUCUUCAACGAGGAAUUCCUAGUAAGCAUGAGUCAUCAGCUCGUGCUGAUUACGUCCCUGCCCUUUGUACACACCGCCCGUCGCUCCUACCGAUUGGGUGAUCCGGUGAAUUAACCAGAUUGUGGCGAGGGUAGUUUUCUGCUAUUGCUACGAAAAGGUUUGUGAACCUUAUCACUUAGAGGAAGGAGAAGUCGUAACA
rnacentral:rRNA from 1 species